GACGAACGCUGGCGGCGUGCUUAACACAUGCAAGUCGAACGCUGAAGCCCUUCGGGGUGGAUGAGUGGCGAACGGGUGAGUAACACGUGGGUAAUCUGCCCUGCACUCUGGGAUAAGCCUUGGAAACGGGGUCUAAUACCGGAUAGGACACAUCGCCGCAUGGUGUGUGUGUGGAAAGUUCCGGCGGUGCAGGUUGAGCCCGCGGCCUAUCAGCUUGUUGGUGGGGUGAUGGCCUACCAAGGCGACGACGGGUAGCCGGCCUGGGAGGGUGACCGGCCACACUGGGACGGAGACACGGCCCGGACUCCUACGGGAGGCAGCAGUGGGUAAUCUUGCGCAAUGGGCGAAAGCCUGACGCAGCAACGCCGCGUGGGGGAUGACGGCCUUCGGGUUGUAAACCUCUUUCGACCGGGACGAAGGAUUCGUUUGACGGUACCGUUAGAAGAAGCACCGGCUAACUACGUGCCAGCCGCCGCAGUAA
rnacentral:rRNA from 1 species